rnacentral:rRNA from 1 species
UAGUGGCGAACGGGUGAGUAACACGUGGGCAAUCUGCCCUUCACUCUGGGACAAGCCCUGGAAACGGGGUCUAAUACCGGAUAACACCUUCUCUCGCAUGGGAGAGGGUUGAAAGCUCCGGCGGUGAAGGAUGAGCCCGCGGCCUAUCAGCUUGUUGGUGAGGUAGAAGCUCACCAAGGCGACGACGGGUAGCCGGCCUGAGAGGGCGACCGGCCACACUGGGACUGAGACACGGCCCAGACUCCUACGGGAGGCAGCAGUGGGGAAUAUUGCACAAUGGGCGAAAGCCUGAUGCAGCGACGCCGCGUGAGGGAUGACGGCCUUCGGGUUGUAAACCUCUUUCAGCAGGGAAGAAGCGAAAGUGACGGUACCUGCAGAAGAAGCGCCGGCUAACUACGUGCCAGCAGCCGCGGUAAUACGUAGGGCGCAAGCGUUGUCCGGAAUUAUUGGGCGUAAAGAGCUCGUAGGCGGCUUGUCACGUCGGUUGUGAAAGCCCGGGGCUUAACCCCGGGUCUGCAGUCGAUACGGGCAGGCUAGAGUGUGGUAGGGGAGAUCGGAAUUCCU